GUGGCUAUAGCUCAGUGGUACAGUGCAUGCCUACCAUGCAUGAGGCCCUGGGUUCAUUCCCCACUACUUCCA
rnacentral:tRNA from 1 species